rnacentral:rRNA from 1 species
UUGGCCCCUCCCACCAGUUCUUGCACAGAGAAGGAGAAGCAAUCCCUCCUGCAGUUCCUCAGUAGUCUGUCGUGUGAUGGUGGCCUCGCCGCGUCCUGGAAGCAGAACGGCAGAGACUGCUGUGAAUGGGAAGGGGUCACCUGUGGCCUGGAUGGGGCAGUCACAGAUGUUUCAUUGGCUUUGAAGGGCUUUGAGGGGCGCAUAACGCCGUCCCUCGGCAACCUUGCCGGUAGCAUCAUCGUCCUUGAUGUCAGCUUCAACAACCUAAACGGGGACAUGCAAGAGUUGCCAUCUUCAACCCCUGCUUGGCCUCUACAGGUACUGAACAUCUCGAGCAACUUGUUAACAGGACAGUUUCCAUCAUCCACCACAUGGGAGGCGACGAACAAUCUGGUCACACUCAACACUAGCAAUAACAGCUUCACUGGGCAGAUACCAAGUCAUUUGUGCGGCAGCUCACCAUCCCUCGCUGUGCUUGAUCUCUGUUACAACAUAUUUACAGGCAGCAUUCCCCUCGAACUUGGUAACUGCGCCAUGCUCAGAGUGCUCAAAGCUGGACAGAAUAACCUCAGCGGGAAUCUCCCAAAUGAACUCUUCAAUGCUUCCUUGCUGGAGUACCUCUCACUUCCUAACAAUAUUCUAGAUGGAGAGCUUGAUGGUGACAUAUCAAACAACAGCCUCACUGGGGAAAUUCGAACAGACCUGGCGGAUAUGCAAAUGUUGCAGUCAGAGAAGACUAAAGCCAGUUUAGACCCGAGGGUCUUCAAACUACCAGUUUAUAAGGGUCUAUCACUUCAGUACCGCAUACCCAUUGCUUUCGCCGGAGUGCUGGAUCUAAGCAGCAAUAAAAUAGCUUGUCAGAUCCCUCGGGAGAUCGCCCGGCUGAAAUUCCUUUGCUCACUCAAUUUGAGCUUCAACGACCUAUCAGGACACAUCCCAAUAUCAGUAUGCAAUCUCACAAACCUGCAGGUACUAGACUUCUUGAACAACAAUCUCACUGGUGCAAUCCCAGCUGCACUGAACAGCCCGCACUUCCUUUCAGCAUUCAACAGUUCUAACAAUGACCUAGAAGGUCCUAUUCCAUCCAGAGGUCAGUUUAACACAUUCCAAAAUUCUAGCUUCGAUGGGAAUCCGAAGCUCUGUGGCUCUAUGCUCACUCACAAAUGUGGUCCAGCUUCAACACGUCCACAAACCAUUAUGGCAACCAAACAAACUGACUACAAGGCCGCCUUCGCGAUUGCCUUCACCGCAUUCUUUGGUGUAGGGGUGUAGUAUGAUCAGCUAGUCUUAUCAAGGUUUUUUGGCUAG